rnacentral:rRNA from 1 species
UCGAGAAUCUUCGGCAAUGGACGCAAGUCUGACCGAGCGAUGCCGCGUGGUGGAGGAAGGCCUUCGGGUUGUAAACACCUGUUGGGGGUUAGGAAACACUGACCGAUCCCCUGAGGAAGGGCGGGCUAAGUUCGUGCCAGCAGCCGCGGUAAUACGAACUGCCCGAGCGUUAUUCGGAAUUAUUGGGCUUAAAGGGCGCGUAGGCGGCGCAUUAAGUCAGAGGUGAAAUCCCAUCGGCUCAACCGUGGAACUGCCUUUGAUACUGAUGUGCUUGAGGGAGAAAGGGGCGUGUGGAACUCGCAGUGGAGCGGUGAAAUGUGUUGAUAUUGCGGGGAACGCCGGUGGCGAAAGCGACACGCUGGUUCUCUUCUGACGCUGAGGCGCGAAAGCCAGGGGAGCGAACGGGAUUAGAUACCCCCGUAGUCC